ACUGGAAGAGCAGCAUGUGGAGGCACGGAAGCAGCUGGAGGAACGGGCAAACUUCCUGGCAGAGGUGCUGCAGGAAGAGCAGCGUCAGAAGGCUUGUGUCAUCCACAAGGUGUACCAGCUGCAGAGAGAGCUGAAGCAAAGUGAGCAGCUGAGGCAGAAGCUGAAUGAGCAGUGGCAGAAUGAGCAGGUCAUGCUGCAGGCUGAGCUGCAGGAAGCUGAGAGAAAGAUGAGGGCAAUGGAGAAGAGGCACCAAGAGGAAAUGGAAAGGAUGCACAAGGUCCUGCUGCAGUACAGGCUGGCUGAAGAAAAGCAGGUGGACGCAGGAUCUGCCAUCGAAGCUGCUGGUGCAGCAGCAUCCUGCCAAGAAGCCUCCUCUCCACAGCCUGAAAACCAGAG